UGGAUCCAGACUUUGAUUAUGGCUCAGGAUGAACGCUGGCGGCAUGCCUAAGACAUGCAAGUCGAACGAGAUGGCCUUUUGAAAACUGCGUGCUUGCACAAAGUUGGAAAGAGAUUCUCCAUCUAGUGGCAGACGGGUGAGUAAUACAUAAGUAAUCUACCUUAAAGACUGGGAUAACGUUUGGAAACGGACGCUAAUACCGGAUGAUUCUUCUUACACAAGUAAGAAAGCUAAAAGGAGCGUUUGCUUCACUUUAAGAUGAGCUUAUGGCGUAUUAACUAGUUGGUGGGGUAAUGGCCUACCAAGGUGACGAUGCGUAGCCGAACUGAGAGGUUGAUCGGCCACAUUGGGACUGAGACACGGCCCAAACUCCUACGGGAGGCAGCAGUUAGGAAUAUUCGUCAAUGGGGGAAACCCUGAACGAGCAAUGCCGCGUGAGUGAUGACGGUCUUUAUGAUUGUAAAACUCUGUUGUAAGGAAAGAACCCUUAUCAUAGGAAAUGAUGAUAAGCUGACGGUACCUUACCAGAAAGCCCCGGCUAACUACGUGCCAGCAGCCGCGGUAAUACGUAGGGGGCGAGCGUUAUCCGGAUUUAUUGGGCGUAAAGCGUGUGUAGGCGGUUUGUUAAGUCUAAAAUAAAAGCCUGAGGCUUAACCUCAGUUCGUUUUAGAAACUGGCAGACUUGAGUGUGGUAGAGGCAAGUGGAAUUUCUAGUGUAGCGGUUAAAUGCGUAGAUAUUAGAAGGAACACCAGUGGCGAAGGCGGCUUGCUGGGCCAUUACUGACGCUGAGACACGAAAGCGUGGGGAGCAAAUAGGAUUAGAUACCCUAGUAGUCCACGCCGUAAACGAUGAGUACUAAGUGUCGGGAAACCGGUGCUGAAGUUAACACAUUAAGUACUCCGCCUGAGUAGUACGGUCGCAAGGCUGCAACUCAAAUGAAUUGACGGA
rnacentral:rRNA from 1 species